rnacentral:rRNA from 1 species
CUCGGAUCAGGUAGGAAUACCCGCUGAACU